AAUAGUUUAAACUUUUUGUUUAAGUAGUACACUUCAAUACUUGAGGUAUAGAAAUGUUUAUAAUGUUGUGUGACAUUUCAUGAACUUAGAUAGGAGUCGAUGUUCUGUUGAAAUCAUUGUUCUUGUUGGAUAAUGUGAUCUCUUUAACUUUGUGGAUCCUUAAUGAUACUGUAAUAACACUGGCUAUAGAGUUAUUUUAAUUUUGUUCUUUGUUAAUAAUAUUAGAAUAUUUAAAUUCAUUAGAACAUAUUUAUGAAACACAUUGUGUUUUUGUUGUUUUUUUUAUUAUUUUUUACAGGAGAAAUAAGUUUAGUAAAGAUAAGUUAGUGCAGUCUAAAGUAAUCCAUAAUAGAAAUAAUGAAGAUGCGAUGCAAUAUCAGGAGUUGUCUUUAAAAUGCAAUAAUCCCUACACUACCUUACAAACUGUUCAGAAAUGGCCGCCAGUGUCUGUUAAUGCUUUUGCUGCUUACUACUUAAAUGUAAAAAAAAAUGAUUAUAAAGAUCUUAUGACACAAUAUGAAAGUGUUUC
rnacentral:lncRNA from 1 species